AAUCCCCAUGUGUUGUGGGAGAGAUCACGUGGGGGUGAUUGGAUAAUGGGGGGAGUUUCCUCCAUGCUGUUCUCAUGAUAAUGAGUGAGUUCUCAUGAGAUCUGAUGGUUUCAUAGCU